UGGGGAAUAUUGCACAAUGGGCGCAAGCCUGAUGCAGCCAUGCCGCGUGUGUGAAGAAGGCCUUAGGGUUGUAAAGCACUUUCAGCGAGGAGGAAAGGUGAUUAGUUAAUACCUGAUUACUGUGACGUUACUCGCAAAAGAAGCACCGGCUAACUCCGUGCCAGCAGCCGCGGUAAUACGGAGGGUGCGAGCGUUAAUCGGAAUUACUGGGCGUAAAGCGUGCGUAGGCGGCUACUUAAGUUGGAUGUGAAAGCCCCGGGCUUAACCUGGGAACUGCGUCCAAAACUGGGUGGCUAGAGUGCGAGAGAGGAGUGUGGAAUUUCCUGUGUAGCGGUGAAAUGCGUAGAUAUAGGAAGGAACACCAGUGGCGAAGGCGACACUCUGGCUUGACACUGACGCUGAGGUACGAAAGCGUGGGGAGCAAACAGGAUUAGAUACCCUGGUAGUCCACGCCGUAAACGAUGUCUACUAAUUGUCCGUUGUCUUGUACGAUGGGUAAUGCAGCUAACGCGAUAAGUAGACCGCCUGGGGAGUACGCCCGCAAGGUUA
rnacentral:rRNA from 1 species